GUGGGGAAUCUUGCGCAAUGGGCGAAAGCCUGACGCAGCCAUGCCGCGUGAAUGAUGAAGGUCUUAGGAUUGUAAAAUUCUUUCACCGGGGACGAUAAUGACGGUACCCGGAGAAGAAGCCCCGGCUAACUUCGUGCCAGCAGCCGCGGUAAUACGAAGGGGGCUAGCGUUGCUCGGAAUUACUGGGCGUAAAGGGCGCGUAGGCGGACAGUUUAGUCAGAGGUGAAAGCCCAGGGCUCAACCUUGGAAUUGCCUUUGAUACUGGCUGUCUUGAGUACGGGAGAGGUGAGUGGAACUCCGAGUGUAGAGGUGAAAUUCGUAGAUAUUCGGAGGAACACCAGUGGCGAAGGCGGCUCACUGGCUCGAUACUGACGCUGAGGUGCGAAAGCGUGGGGAGCAAACAGGAUUAGAAACCCUUGUAGUCC
rnacentral:rRNA from 1 species